rnacentral:rRNA from 1 species
CAGCAGCCGCGGGAAUACGAAGGGUGCAAGCGUUAAUCGGAAUUACUGGGCGUAAAGCGCACGCAGGCGGUUUGUUAAGUCAGAUGUGAAAUCCCCGGGCUCAACCUGGGAACUGCAUUUGUGACUGGCAAGCUAGAGUGUGGCAGAGGGGGGUGGAAUUCCACGUGUAGCAGUGAAAUGCGUAGAGAUGUGGAGGAACACCGAUGGCGAAGGCAGCCCCCUGGGCCAAUACUGACGCUCAUGCACGAAAGCGUGGGGAGCAAACAGGAUUAGAUACCCCGGUAGUCCCUGUCUCUUAUAU